UACGAGAGCCCAAACGUUAUUCGGAAUUACUGGGCUUAAAGAGUCCGUAGGCGGCGCGGAAAGUGGGGUGUGAAAGCCCUCGGCUCAACCGAGGAAUUGCGCUCCAAACUACCGUGCUUGAGGAACCUAGAGGUGAGCAGAACUGAUGGUGGAGCGGUGAAAUGCGUUGAUAUCAUCAGGAAUACCGGAGGCGAAGGCGGCUCACUGGGGGUUUCUGACGCUGAGGGACGAAAGCCAGGGUAGCGAACGGGG
rnacentral:rRNA from 1 species